AACAUCAGAAUGUCCUGAAACAUUGUAGUUCACACCUUGAGAAGAUGUCCUCCCCACCUGAGGUGAAAUUGGUCUGUGGAAACUAGGACUUUUAUUUUUAUGAUUUUCUGAAUGUGUAAACAAAACAUCUAAUAUUCGAGUUUGGGGGGCUCUUAUUUUGGAAUUCAACAUCAGAAUGUCCUGAAACAUUGUAGUUCACACCUUGAGAAGGUGUCCUCUCCAUCUGAGGUGAAAUUGGUCUGUGGAAGCUAGGACUUUUAUUUUUAUGAUUUUCUGAAUGUGUAAACAAAACAUCUAAUAUUCGAUUUUGGGGGGCUCUUAUUUUGUAAUUCAACAUCAGAAUGUCCUGAAACAUUGUAGUUCACACCUUGAGAAGG